CUGAUAUGCAUUCUUCUGUUUGAGUGACAGAAAAACACUACAGUGCCGUUGAAAAUGUAAGCAAUCGUAUUUUACUCUAUUGUGGAGGUUGACUUUUAUAUAGUUACUGGUCUGCUUGAAUUGGCUAUUGUAACAAGAUUUUGUUUUUGACCGCAGUAUACUACAAAAUGCAGGUAAGAACUCUUGCGCUAGCAGCGUUACCUAAUAAUGGUGUUGGAUUCGUAUUUUUGAAUAACUGAUAACCGCAUUACUAUAAUAAAAUGAAAUAUCUCUUGUCAUUAUGAGUGCUAAUAAUAGGGAAUUAGCAUAAAAGUGAAUAAGUAUCUGAUAAGAUAUAUAUAAGAUAAUAUAUGCCUGCGCUUGACGCGAAUUUUAAAAGAAUAGUACUAGGAAAAGAAGGACAAGAAAAACAAGGUAAUCAACAACAAAGAACAAAUUGACAUUCGGUUUGUUCAGUGUGUAAUCUUUUCUUCUUACGUUGAGCUAGUUGACAUACUAGCUUGACCUAUACAUACUACUACUGAAAUAUGAAUAAUUUAAAUCACUUGAAAUAUUCAUUAAAGCCAACUUCUGCAUAAAAAAUACAAAAUUAUAAAAUUUCUACGAAAGUUAAACGAAUUCUAUAAAACAAUACAUUAUCGGUUUAAGGUCAUCUAAAUAUUUAUAUAAACAUAGUAUGUGUGCGGAUAAUCGAUGCACGCGGCAGCAACUAUUUCCUAAUAGUCUGCGAAUACAAAAACAAAAAACAGGAAAACCAACACACCGCCAAAGGUCACAGAAGUUCAUGGUUUUGCGUGCGUCAAACUUGAACUAAAUUGUUGUUAAUCAAUAGUUUGGGCACCCACGACUAUUUACAGGCAUAAAGCAGUGCUAGCAAUAGCGAGAGCGCGAAUUAAAUAAAUGUGUUGGUGGCGAGCAGUAAACGAUUUCGAUUUAAAAAUAAAUUGUAAAAAAACGAUAUUUUUUGCAUGGUGAUUGAAGAAAAAACGGCCCACUGUGCGCACCCGCUGCUAACAGCUAACAAAAUGAACCAAAACAAAAGCAACAAUCAUCAAAAAAAGCAGAAAACCAAUUACAGAAAGGUUAACGCUUUGUAAUCACCCAACUGGAUUUUAGCAACGAACUUUUCAACACAAAUACAAGUCCCCGCGGUGUUACAGUGUGGUUGUCAUAUAAAUAUGUAUGUGGUAUGUAUGUCUAAUAGAUGUUGUUGCGACAGAGUCAUCAACGUUUAACUACUAGUGGCACAAAGCGGUAAUUCGACCGACACAACGCACCUGCCACCAUUUGUUGCAUAGCCGGUGUAGCAAACCAGA